UAAUCUUUCACACCUGCCAAUUGUGCUGGCCAGUCCAUUGAUCAGGAUGAAUAAGAACCUGGAAGACAUCGAUGGUCCCCACCCCAUCCGAUAACUGGGGCCUCAGAGAACUUUGGCAGCUAAGCCCUGCAGAGGAGCCUGGAGUGUGGACAGAGACGGCUGCCAUCGCUCAGCCAGAGCAGCCUCAGGAAGCCCAAGGGAGCUGUGAACAGGGAGCUCGCAGUAAGCAAAACUUCUGGUGGCGGGGGCCACAAAGCCUGUGGAGGGAGCACGUCUUGUCCCAUGCGUCCAAGCCCCUCCUCAGGGCUGCUGGAGAGGACACUGCCUGGAAAAAGCCAACAGCCACAUCCCUAGCCUGUCCCCUGCCUGGAACCUCUGGCCAGCCCUGGCCUCAGGGCCCCCUACCCUGUGUGCGGAGGAACAGAGGCUGUGCCUGGCAGACUGCCUCCAGGGUGGCUGGGGCACCCGCUCUUCUCAAGGCAAGGCAGGCAUGAUCUGGUCUUUGCUCUGUGUCCCACAUUCAGUCCCACUGAUCAGUGCAUUAAUAGUGGAUAGAAAGAAUAAAAUGUCACCAGUUCUAAAAGAAGAAGAUAAAAUCUCCCUAAUGUGUCUGUAUUCUAGCUCUGGACACAGCCAAGCUCAAUCAAGGGCAUUGUCUACUAACUUCUGGAAGGACAAGAUUGGCAACUGUUGGGUGACAAUCAGAAAAUUUCAGAAAUGUGGAAUCUUAGGACUCAACUAUCCCCAAGUCACAUGGGAAAAGGGCAGCCUGAAGGGAGCCUUCUCAGCAGCCCAAAGUCACUUGAGAAAUCUAAACUAGGCAUAUGGCGCAUGCUUAUAAUUCCAGCACUCAGGAGGCUGAGGUGAGAGGAUUGCUGCAAGUUCGAGGAUAACCUGGGCUACAUAGUGAGUUCAAGGUCAUCCUGGACUACAUAGCCAUACCCUAUCUAGAAAGAAAAAGCCAAGUAUGGUGGCGCCUAUAAUCCCAGCACUUAGGAGGAUGAGGCAGGACAAUCGCUGUGAGUUUGAGGCCAACCUGAGCUACAAAGUGAGUUCAAGUCCAGCUUGAACUGCACAGCGAGACCCUGUCUCAAAAAGACCAAAAAAAAAAAAAAAAACAAGAGAAAAAGGGAGCCCAGUGCUCUCAUGGUAUAGAUGAGGAACUGCGGUAUAAAGGUUUGCCUCAAGCUGCCCCGCACACUGAGGCAGUGUGACCCAGGUCUCCUAAUCUGAUCGUCUUGUUUCUUUGUGUUCCACCCCCAUUAGAAUGCAUUGCUGAUAAUCUGACCCACAGAUGCCUGUGCCUCCUUCUCGGAGACAUCCAGACAGGGUCCAGCUGGUGUCAGACCCCCAGAGUGUCCUGGCCUGGAACAGCCCCCAGUUCCCAGCAAACUCUCCCAUGAUCGGAAAAACUCCAUUGAUGUGAUGAUUUCCCAACAUCAGAAUUAUAUGUUUUCAAGAGCCCCUCUUGUAAAACAUACAAUUUGGAGAGGAACAUUGGUCAUGAGCAUUAAUGGUUUCUCCCUAUCUAAUUAAGAAAGCAGAGCUUGGCUCCAGGGCAAGUCGAUACUUUGAAACCUUUGUGACAAAUUUGCAUAAACACCCUUAUUUCAAAUGAAAAAUGAAA
ensembl:lincRNA